rnacentral:rRNA from 1 species
UACGUAGGGUGCAAGCGUUUAAUCGGAAUUACUGGGCGUAAAGCGUGCGCAGGCGGUGAUGUAAGACAGGUGUGAAAUCCCCGGGCUUAACCUGGGAACUGCAUUUGUGACUGCAUAGCUAGAGUACGGUAGAGGGGGAUGGAAUUCCGCGUGUAGCAGUGAAAUGCGUAGAUAUGCGGAGGAACACCGGAUGGCGAAGGCAAUCCCCUGGACCUGUACUGACGCUCAUGCACGAAAGGCGUGG